AGGCGAAGCUGCAAAGAGAGUAAACUCUCAUCCGUCCCCAAAUCUAAAGAGUGCACUUUGGCUGAAGUCAUGUCCAAGACGUGAAUGACCUGGAAGAAGAACAGUGAAAUCCUUGAGAAUAUUUUGCAGAACAGCGUAAAAGUGAGGCUUAUUUGUGUAACGAUCCAGUCCUCCGCCACGACUUGAAGGAUCCCAAAGCAACAGCAUCUGGAGAAGAGACUCUAUUUGUUCCUGCAGAGGUCUGAACAAACAAACACAUCAGAUGAGUUACUCAGAAACAAGAGAGCUGGACGAAUUUAAAGUAAAAUAUUACAUUGUGACCUGCUAAGACUGUUGGGAUAUGGUAGGCGUGCUGAAAAAUGAACUUCACCGUUCAUGUCCUCGAAUGCCAUGAUGUCCUUCGGCCCCUUGUUUUUGACUUUGCUUGUCCUGCAGGAGCACAAAUAGACCCAUUCAAAUAAAUGCUGAAAACAACAAAUUAACGUUUGCUUUUCUUCUUUUUCUAAUCCAAGUUUUCCUCAUUUUUAAGUACAAAAUUGCCAGGAGUUGUAAAUCACUUGUGCUGGGAACAUGAAAAUACAUUUAGAAUACCUGACGCAAGACUGAAAAGACCUUCUAACAUUCAUCACCAUUCUUGAAACACAACUAGUCUGGAAAACAUAACCAGACAUCUCCAUUUUUCCUUUAAAAUGCUACACUCUUAGAGUGUCUCCAACAUUAGAGAAAUCUUUAAAGAAAUCUUUCUAGCUCUCCAAAGAUUGUUCGAAGAACAUUUUAAAAUGAAUUAAGCAUUCAGGGUAAAAUCUGAAGUUAACUGAGUUAAAAAAAACUGUAAUCUUACCUUAAAAAAGGUAAUAAAUAAUAAAAGAAAUUACAAAAAAAAAAAAAAACGUUUGUUUACACACAGACUUUGUUCAGAAACAGGCCUGAGUUGAAGUUCACUUAGUGCACCUUUUUUCUGAACCGAUAAGAUUUGAUUCAUGUAAUUAAGGUUUUGCCCCACCUUUUUUUACACUAGUAAAUUAGCAUGAGUCAAACUGUGAAUGACUACAGAAGGAAAAAAAACAUGAUGCAUAUUUUUAGCUUACCACUGUACGGGUUGCAUGUGGUGCAGAAAAGGCCGGAAGCCACAAAUGCAUUCAAAGAGCACUGUCCCAAAACUCCAGUAGUCCACGCUUACAGUGUAGGGCUUGCUCUCAAACAGCUCUGGAGCCUGUCACGUGUACAUACAAAGCUUCAAAACUAAAUAAAAAUGCAAAAGAAUCAUAUAUUUUGUACGAUAAAUUUACCAAAUACUGUAGUGUUCCAACAAAGGAUGUGCAGAGACUGCCUUGAUCCAGAUCUUUUGCAUACCCCAGGUCUAUAAUUUUAUGUACAAGCUGGAGAAGGAAUUUUGAAACAAAAGUUUAAAAAAAAAGAACUAAAAAA